AAUGCCUUUUCUAAAAGUCCUCCUGUGCUCAGAGCCUGGCAGGUAGCUGGAGGUGACAGCAUUAUUUUCAAAGUUGGCAUUCCCAAGGUGGAGGUUUUAAUGAAGAGGAAGCCGAUUUACUGCUGAGAAAACAUUGUUCCCUCAAGUAAAUCCAACAGGGGUCAUUAGCACUUCAUAUAUUCAGAGACCUGCCCUGCUGGUGGAUGGAAGAAAAGGGAGACCCAGGAGAAGGCUCUCUGUAAUUGCUUGAGAGGAAAUAUGGGCUAUCUGGGCCAUUUAUAUACUAUUGCUGUUGGAUGCUCUUCUUUGUACUACGCAAGCAUGUCCCUAGAUUAACACUAUCCCCACGGAGUCAGCCAGCACAAAAGUCACUCUUUGCCUUGUGGGCACUGAGGUCCUCCUGAGAACACAACCAUAAUAAAGAAAAUAACCUGGAGCUGCACUAUUCAUGGGGGAUGUUGAAGUGUAUUCUGAAUUGAUUUGAAACCAAUCCAAUCAAAAGAAUGAAAUAUUCCCCAAUCAGGUCAAACUGACCAAAAUGAAGUGUUUCAUUUCAGGUUCAUCUCCCCCCCCCACUCUUCAAAAUAAAGUAGAAAGUAAUAUAAAAAGAAGAACACAGAAGGUUUUCAGCACAAUCACAUUUCUUCCCCCUGGAAAGCAGUGAAUCUGUGGAAGUGGCAAGUUCCUUUGAGAAAUAUCUCUCAUCAGCACUUCUGCAUUCUUUGCAACCUCCACACAGUGCUUCAUUCUGAUCCUAGGGCUUCCUGGGAAUUACGGCUCAGAUGCCUCCUUUGUCUGUCCCUAAAUCACGCUCCCCGCUCAGAGGAUACCAUCAAAAACCCACUGCAGACAACAAAGCAUCCUUGGCCACCAGGAGUCUGCGAUCAUGACAUGCCUAAAAUAUGUUCCAAUGAGUGCUGGCUUCCUUCCUUUUCUUGUAUUUCUGCAAAAAUAAAGUAUGUGCACAU
ensembl:lncRNA